GAAAUGCGAUAAGUAAUGUGAAUUGCAGAAUUCAGUGUAUCAUCGAAUCUUUGAACGCACCUUGCGCUCCUUGGUAUUCCUUGGAGCAUGCCUGUUUGAGUAUCAUGAAAUCUUCAAAGUAAAUCUUUUGUUAACUCAAUUGGUUUCUACUUUGGUAUUGGAGGUCUUUGCAGCUUCACACCUGCUCCUCUUUGUUCAUUAGCUGGAUCUCAGUGUUAUGCUUGGUUCCACUCGGCGUGAUAAGUUAUCUAUCGCUGAGGACACUGUAAAAGGUGGCCAAGGUAAAUGCAGAUGAACCGCUUCUAAUAGUCCAUUGACUUGGACAAUACUUUUAUGAUCUGAUCUCAAAUCAGGUAGGACUACCCGCUGAACUUAAGC
rnacentral:misc_RNA from 1 species